UGAAAUUCAGGUAAGUUAUACCUAGUAAAAACAAAACAAAAGGUAGGCCACAUGACCCAACCCACCAUCCAAAUAAAAUCUGUCCAGCAUUGAAAAAUAAAAAUAAAAAAAGACAAAAAGAAGCCUCUAGUAACAUCUUCCAUGGCCGACCAAAGCUUCUCUGUUAUGGCGGACGAAGGCAUGGAUUGCCUUAGAUCAAGAUCGGUUCGUCUAAGGCUGCAACCAGCUAAGUUCAGAUUGUUUCCACAAAAAUACUCAAAAAUUCUAAGGAAUGUCAUGAAAACAAAUCCACUGAAUACUUCUUCAACUCAGCUCGAUCAGCUCAGUCAAGCCUAGCUAAUACCACUGCAUAGACCAGUGUUGAUGACUUCAGUAACAGCAGUCAGUUCUCUCCCCCUUAUCACCUUCCCUAUUGCCACUGUUUCAGCUACUGCUCUAGAGUGACUAUCUUCCAAUGCCAUCUAUGAGUCCCUCCCAACAAUUUGGAGUGGCUCUUGAAAGGUCACCAAUAUUUUGUUGUGCCAAGAUCAUCUCUCCCUCCUCAGAAAUUCUUCUGUCAUCAUUAUGUUGAGCUGCUACCAUCUGAACAUUCUCAUUUCUGAUAACUAAAGCCAUUUCAAUUAUACUUGUGUUUAAUUCCGUAUGUUGAGCUUGUGGUGAUGAUCCAUCUUUCAUAUGUAUGAAAUUCCCUUCCUCAUUAUGAUUAUUUUCACCCUUGCCCUUCAUAUUGUCUUCCUCUGUGCAGUUUGAGAUUCCAACAACAUUCUCCUCAACCCUUCCUAUUAUCCCCUCAUUCUGAUUCUCUGAAAAAGUGCUACUAGACAACUCACUUCCACCUUGUUGAUUAUUAGUAUUGAUUUUAUUGCUAUCUCUUUUUAUAAAGUUCUUUGUUACCCAUUUUUUAGUCGACUUGUGCUGCUGAUUUAUAUCUUCCUUGCAUGUUGCUUUUUCUUUGUUGACAACCUCAUCAUUCUUUGUUACAGGUAAGCUCUCUGCUGCAUCACCCUGAUCUUUGUCUUUCCCUCUUAUCAUGCUAGAGGAAUCCACAUUAUUAUGCUCCACCUCCUUGCUUUUUCCCUCCUCAUUUAAAGUUGCAAAUGAGUUGCUUGUGCUAAUUAUUUCUUCUUCCUUUUUUUGAUCUUCUUUUUGUUGCCUCGAGAAAGUCUUAUUUGUGGGAUGCCACCUCUUAAAAUGCCUUCCUACCCUUAUCAUAGGUUUGUUGUUCUGCUUGCCAGGUAAAUCUAUCAGUUUAUUUCCUUUAAUCUCUUCCUCUUGCACAGAUUUUCUAAGUUCAAGGUGUAACACACUACAAUCAUUUCUAGUAUGACCCUGUAACUUGCAUUGUUUACAAUACUUUGGUAAUAUGUCGUACUGAAUUUGAAUUAUCUCCACCCUCGAAGUCUUAGUAUCUUUAUUCACAACUUUUAAUUCUACAAACUUUAGAAAUUCGGAUACCAAAUCUACCUGAUCCUUUACCCUAGCACAACUAGGUCGAGUUUUGUUGAUAGUGGCCAUGUCUAGGUGUAAUGGUUUCCCUACCACUGAUGCUAAUGAAAAAAUGAGUUCCUUAACACAGAAGGUCGGUUUUAAAUCUGAAAAAGAUAUCCAUGCCAUUGCUUGUGUUGUUUCUGCUUCAACAAUGAAUGUAGCAUCGUAAAUAAGCGACCUCAUCAUGUAUGAAUAACCAUCCUUUGAUAAUAUGUAGUAGCUAGGUUUAGACAUCAUAUUAAUAAAAUCAUCUUGUCUAUUGAAUUGCAUUAGUAUGUGCCUAUUCCUUAAUAAUCCUAUUUUGCAUUCCCCUUUCACACUACAUUGUUUUGGUAUUUGGAUCCGUAACUCUUCAAGAUCUGGCCAUCCAUAGGAAAAUUUCCCCACCAUAGCAUACUGUAGGUUCUCCAAUGUAUUCAUUCUAUCAACUUCCUCUUCAGUCCGUACCAUCCUUGGGAUUCCGUCAUUGUAACUAAGUUUUUUAAUAGGGAUAGGUUCCACUGCUGGCUUAAACCCUACUGCUUCUUUAUUUGUCUUGAGCAUAUCAACAUAUUGAUCUACUGAUAUUGCACUUCCUGUAUUAACAUUUUCAAAAGGCAAACUUGGUAAAUUUGGAAUAGGUUUAGGCAAAACUAAUGAAUUUGGAGCUUUGGGAUGUUGUAAUACAACAACAACAACAACCCAGUGAAAUCCCACAUCGUGGGGUCUGGGGAGGGUAAAAUGUACGCAGACCUGACUCCUACCAAUGUAGGACGGCUGUUUCCGAAAGACCCUCGGCUCAAUAGAAGCAUAGAAAAAGAAGUCAGACAAGAAUAUUAAAAGUAGGUAAGUAGAUAACGAAAGCGGUCCAAACAAUAGUAUAAUCAAAGCACCAAAAACAGUAGAUAUUGCUAGAUAAUAAUAUAAAUACCAUAAAUAACAUAACAUACAUAACAUAAAUCAGAGUAGAAGAAAUCAUAGUGCAUUAAUACGCCUACGGAUAAGGGGGAAUAAUGCCAUUAUGUACUAGCCUUCUAUCCUAAUGUGUGUCCUCCACACCCUCCUAUCUAAGGUCAUGUCCUCGGUAAGUCGUAAAUGCGCCAUGUCCUGUCUGAUCACCUCUCCCCAAUAUUUCUUCGGCCUACCCCUACCUCUUCUGAAACCAUCCAUGGCCAGCCUCUCACAUCUCCGCACUGGUGCAUCUGGGACUCUCCUCUUCACAUGCCCAAACCAUCUCAAUCGCGUUUCACGCAUCUUGUCUUCCACCGAGGUCACUCCUACCUUAUCUCGAAUAGCCUCAUUUCUAAUCCUAUCGCUCCUGGUAUGCCCACACAUCCAUCUCAACAUUCUCAUUUCCGCAACUUUCAUCUUUUGCACGUGGGAGACCUUAACUGGCCAACACUCCGCCCCAUAUAACAUAGCUGGUCUAACCACCACUUUGUAGAACUUGCCCUUAAGUUGUGGUGGCACCUUCUUGUCACAUAACACACCGGAGGCGAGCCUCUAUUUCAUCCAUCUUGCCCCAAUACGAUGUGUGACAUCCUCGUCGAUCUCCCCGCUGCCUUGCAUGAUAGAACCAAGGUACUUAAAACUACUUCUCUUUUGGAUGGCUUGGUCCCCGAGCCUAACAUCCGUGCCAACCUACUGAGGAGUCUCACUGAACUGGCACUCUAGGUACUCUGUCUUGGUCCUACUCAGCUUAAACCCUUUAGACUCUAAGGUGCGUCUCCAAUCUUCCAGCUUAGCGUUAACUCCGCUAUGAGUCUCAUCGAUGAGGACUAUGUCGUCCGCAAAAAGCAUACACCAUGGCACCUCACCUUGAAUUUGUCGCGUUAACACAUCUAUCACCAAGGCAAAUAGAAACGGACUAAGAGCUGAUCCUUGAUGCAACUCCAUCACAACUGGAAAGUGUUCUGAGUCCCCUCCUACUGUCCUUACCCUGGUUUUGCUCGUACAUGUACUUGAUCACCCUUAUGUACGCUACAGGUACACCUUUAGCCUCCAAACAUCUCCAUAGUAUCUCUCGUGGGACUUUAUCGUAAGUCUUUUCUAAGUCGAUGAAUACCAUAUGCAAGUCUCUCUCCUCUCCCUAUAUUGCUCCAUUAGUCUCCUCAUAAGAUGGAUGGCUUCCGUAGUUGAGCGUCCUGGCAUAAAUCCGAACUGGUUCUCUGUAAUAGACACGCCUCUCCUCAUCCUCAUCUCCACCACUCUUUCCCACACUUUCAUAGUAUGGCUUAGAAGCUUGAUACCUCUAUAGUUGUCGCAACUCUGGCUAUCUCCCUUAUUUUUGUAUAGAGGGAUCAUGAUGCUCGACCUCCAUUCUACGGGCAUCGUUGCCGUCGUAAAGAUGACAUUAAAUAACCUAGUCAACCAUUCCAAACCUACCGAGCCCGCACUCUUCCAAAAUUCUCCAGGGAUCUCGUCAGGUCCGGUCGCUCUUCCCCAGCGCAUCCUACGAACGACACUUUUAACCUCAUCGACCGUAAUACUCCUACAACCCCCAAUAUCGUGACUACUUCCUGUAUGUUCCAAAUCUCCCAACACAAUUUCUCUGUCCCCUUUGUCAUUCAAAAGUUUAUGAAAGUAUGACUGCCAUCUUUGUUUGAUAAGGGUAUCCUCUACCAAUACUUUUUCGUGCUCGUCUUUAAUGCACUUCAAUUGGUCCACAUCGCGUGCCCUUCUCUCCCGGGCCCUAGCUAGCCUGAAUAAUUUCCUGUCCCCGCCUUUCUCUUCUAGUUCAGCAUAAAGGCGUUCAAAAGCUGCCGUUUUUGCCGUUGCAACCGCCGACUUCGCUUCCUUCCUCGCUAUCUUAUACAGUUCCCCAUUCGUCCACUUCUCCACCUCAUCCUUGCUCUCCAUCAACUUAGCAUACGCCACCUUCUAUGCUUCCACUUUCCCUUGUACUUCUCCAUUCCACCACCAGUCCCCUCGAUGUCGACUACGACUACCUGUCGAGACUCCUAACACUUCCCUUGCUACAGCCCUAAUACAACUAGCUGUCCUAUCCCACAUACCGUUCGCAUCCCCACUACUAUCCCAGGCCCCCAUAUCCUUCAAUUUCUCUCCCAUCUCUAGGGCACUAACUGUUGUCAAACUCCCCCAUCUGAUCCUAGGUCGUUCUUCCCCGACCCUCUUCGUCCUCGUCAUCUUGAUCCCUAAAUCCAUCACUAAGAGCUUAUGUCUGGUUGUAAGGUUGUCGACCGGGAUGACUUUACAGUCUUUGCACAAACCUUUAUCAUCCUUCUUAAGAAGUAAAAAAUCUAUCUGAGUUUUAGCCACUGAACUACGGAAGGUUACCAAGUGGUCCUCCUUCUUUGGGAAACUCGAGUUGGCUAUCACCAACCCAAAAGCUCUUGCGAAAUCCAAAAGUGAGAUUCCUCCUCCAUUUCUGUCCCUGAAACCAAAGCCCCCAUGCACAUCAUCGUACCCUCCUGAAAUAGACCCGAUGUGCCCAUUGAAAUCUCCUCCCACGAAAAGCUUCUCAGUAGGUGGUAUACCUCCUACUAACUCGUCCAAAUCCUCCCAAAAGCGCCUCUUAUCCUCCUCGCGUAAGCCCACUUGCGGCGCAUAAGCACUAAUAAUGUUCAACGUGAUCCCUUGAACGACCAUUUUAAUCGACAUCAUCCUAUCAUUGACUCUCCUAACCUCCACCACCUGAUCCCUUAAAUCACUGUCUAUUAAAAGGCCUACCCCAUUUCUAUACUUCGAUUUACCAGAAAACCAAAGCUUAUACCCGUCUACCUCCUUAGCUUUAGAGCCUACCCAUUUUGUCUCCUGGACACAGGCUAUAUUAAUCUUCCUCUUCUUUAGAAUCUUAACCAGUUCUAUGGAUUUACCCGUUAACGUCCCAAUGUUCCAAGAACCUACUCUCAGUCUAGACGCUCCUUUAACCCACUUACCUCUCCCUACCCUCGUCCCCGUCCCUGAGCGAGAACAUGACCCUAGUCUACCAUCACUAUUCAAAGCCACGAAAAUUCGUAUGAACUAAUAAAUUAUUCGGGGGUCUAAAGUCGACCAAAUAUAACUACAAGUAUAUGAACAAAGAAUAGAUAUAUAAAGAUAUAAAAAUCGGGGGUAACUCCGAUAGAAAUGAACCUGGUUGCCGCUGAAAAAUACUGCUCACGUCGGAAUACUGUUCACGUCGGCGUAAGGGGUUGAGUUGCAACGGUUGUUCGUCACUGGGAAUACAGAUUUGUACACCAGAGGUGCCAACUCCAAUUGUAAGAACUUGGUUCACGCCGGGAAAUACUGUUCACACCGGAAAACACUGUUCACGCCGGAAGACGAAAAAUCACUGGAUGAUGCCGGAAAAUGAUGCCGGAGAAUCUGUCUGUUCUGCUUGUGAGUGUGGGAGACGAGAGCGGUCGACGACGACAAGUGGAUCUGUACGUGAUGACUUUUAGUAGCAGCUCGAAGAACAGAUCUGGAGUACUUGCUAACUUGCUGGAAGGAACCUGCAAAAAUCAAGGCACAAGCAGAAAGAUAGAGCAUAGAAAUUGACAAAUCCAACAAUGUAUAAGCCUCAGUAGUUGCUAGAUUGGCAGGACAACAAUGGCGGUUUCGUUGCAAAUUGAACUGAUGCACUUGGAAUAAACGUGGAAGACAAAGAGACUGCAGUUUUGCUACUUGAUCUCGUCAGCGUCGCCGGAGAAUAGACCGGAGACAGUAGAAGACGAUCUCGAACAAUUCAGAUGACCCUGACCCAACAACCAUACAAUUUGGAAUUUUGGGAAGAAUUCAAAGACCCCACAUCUAUUAGCUUCGGCUGAAGUCGGAUGUUGUAAUAAAGGAAAAGAAAUAUCAUAGAUUGUGUAGUUUUUUUGUUUCAAUUUAUAAGGAACUUCUUUUAUUCAGGAUAUUUCUUUGUUUCGUUCCUAAAUAUAAGACAUCUUUAUUAUAA